rnacentral:misc_RNA from 1 species
GAACAGGCCCGACCGGAUGCCGGCGGUCCCGUGGGCGCCCUUCAUGCAGUGGUCGUGGUAAUGCCAGUAACCGGCCGUCCCCGGUACGACGGUGCCGUCGUCGAGGGUCCGAGGGCCCGGAGCGGAGAAGACAUAGGUGCGCGACUUGCCGGGCUCGACGCACGAGCGGUUGUGAACGGUCCCGUCGCUGGCCGGCGUGUAGUGCGCGCCGUGUACGUGCAUGCUGACGCGUACGCCGGCGUCGUUGACGAGCGUCACCGCGAUGCACUGCCCCUCGGUCAUCUCGAUCGUGGGGCCGGGGAUCGUGGCUCCCCCCGGCUCGAGCCCGUAGCCGACCUUGUUCUUGCCGAGGCGUUCGGCGAAGAGGUCGAAGGCCUCGUCGGGCUCGGU